rnacentral:rRNA from 4 species
CGACCCCAGGUCAGGCGGGACUACC